GACGAACGCUGGCGGCGUGCUUAACACAUGCAAGUCGAACGGAAAGGCCCUGCUUGCAGGGUACUCGAGUGGCGAACGGGUGAGUAACACGUGGGUGAUCUGCCCUGCACUUCGGGAUAAGCCUGGGAAACUGGGUCUAAUACCGGCUAGGAGCCAUUUUUAGUGUGAUGGUUGGAAAGUUUUUUCGGUGUAGGAUGAGCUCGCGGCCUAUCAGCUUGUUGGUGGGGUAAUGGCCUACCAAGGCGGCGACGGGUAGCCGGCCUGAGAGGGUGGACGGCCACAUUGGGACUGAGAUACGACCCAGACACCUACGGGAGGAAGCAGUGGGGAAGAUUGCACAAUGGGCGCGAGCCUGAUGCAGCGACGCCGCGUGGGGGAUGACGGCCUUCGGGUUGUAAACUCCGUUCGCUAGGGACGAAGCUUUUUGUGACGGUACCUAGAUAAGAAGCACCGGCUAACUACGUG
rnacentral:rRNA from 1 species